UGAUGGUGGUGAGGUCAAUUUCUAAGCAUACUCUUAAAUAUUUCCCAAGAUUAGUAAAUAUUUUCUCCGUCUUUUUGCCUAAAACUCAGAAUCUCGCUUCUCAAGCA
rfam:Capsicum annuum cultivar Zunla-1 chromosome 5, whole genome shotgun sequence